rnacentral:lncRNA from 10 species
CAAUUCUGUUUUAGAAGGGUGCGGGGCGGGGGCGGUGAAUAGAUGACCAACCUUAUUUGAAAAUAAACAGGAGAAAGAAGGAGAAAAUUCUGAAGAAGAAAGAGAGAGAAGAGAAAGAAUCAAACCAUCCUUAUGCUAUCUUAUUUAAAAAGCCCUACUUUUUAAAAUUACAAAUGUUGCUAUAAAAUUUAUUGAAAAUGGCACAAUCCUGUUAUUCAAUGCACUGUAACAUGGGACAAUCAGCCAACAGAUAAUACUCAAUAUGUACAGAAAUAAAGGGCACAACUUCCAAAUUAGUAGAGGGGACAAAAUGGAAUAAAGAUGGAAAACAGAUCCCCAGAAGUCUAAAAUACGAAGAAGAACCAAGACUAAGUAGAAGAGAACAUGAUAUUUCUCCAGUCUCCGGUUAACAUCUUCAAGAAUCAAGACGACGGGCGGGGAGAUACCUCAUGAAAUGCAUCGGGAUUCCCAGGAUUAAAAAGCGAGGAAACAUAAAACGACAAGAGCCAGAAACACUGCAAAGAGUAUUGAGAUAAGCAUCACCCCAUGACAUAAAUGAGGAAACUGAAGCCCGCAGAGGCCAGCGAUUUGCACAAAAUCACACGAGUGCUCAGCAGAGCUGAAACUG